rnacentral:rRNA from 1 species
AUCUGGGCGGCGAAAUUCAGGAUGGCUGAGCGGGCCUCGUGCACGUUCGGCCGUCUGAUGUUUUCGUCGCCGUUGCAGACGUCGCGACCUGUUUGUCGUCGGUCCCUGCUCCGAGGAGUCGCCGUCGAGCUCGUUGCGGGCGCGUUUCGGCGCGUCUCGCGGCGAAGGCGGCGAGUCUCUGGCUGACGACGGACAGUAAGCAACGGUGGCCGACGUCGUCUUUCGAGAACGGCGUCGGUGCCGGUCGGCGACGAUUUCUUCGGGCCUCUUUCCGACCCGUCUUGAAACACGGACCAAGGAGUCUAAUAUGCGCGCGAGUCGCGGGGUAUCGAGCGUACUACGGUGCGUUCGUUACGUCACGAAACCCGUAAUGUUGAAGGCGUAAUGAAAGUGAAUGGGGAAGAUGGCGUUCCGAGUACACGUUCCGUGGUCUCGUAUCGCGGCCGGACGCCCGCAUUCCCGGGGCGUCUCAACGGCUCGUCGCGGAUGCGGACGGUCGUCUCUCGGGGCGGCCGUCGGUCUGCGACGGACCGA